rnacentral:rRNA from 1 species
CCUACGGGUGGCAGCAGUCGAGAAUCAUUCACAAUGGGGGAAACCCUGAUGGUGCGACGCCGCGUGGGGGAAUGAAGGUCUUCGGAUUGUAAACCCCUGUCAUGUGGGAGCAAAUUAAAAAGAUAGUACCACAAGAGGAAGAGACGGCUAACUCUGUGCCAGCAGCCGCGGUAAUACAGAGGUCUCAAGCGUUGUUCGGAAUCACUGGGCGUAAAGGGUGCGGAGGCGUGUUCGUAAGUCGUGUGUGAAAGGCGCGGGCUCAACCGGCGGACGGCACAUGAUACUGCGGGACUAGAGUAAUGGAGGGGGAACCGGAAUUCUCGGUGUAGCAGUGAAAUGCGUAGAUAUCGAGAGGAACACUCGUGGCGAAGGCGGGUUCCUGGACAUUAACUGACGCUGAGGCACGAAGGCCAGGGGAGCGAAAGGGAUUAGAUACCCCUGUAGUC